CUUUCGUACGAGAUGGUUCCGACGUAACGGACCAAUUUACAAAUGCUAACGAAAGUUACGCACUUGCUGCUUAAUUAACUUUGUUAAUUAAGUUACGGGGUUUGGGGCACCUGGCAACAGAACGCCCCUUACA
rnacentral:tmRNA from 1 species